AAUCAACGCUGGCGGCGUGCCUAACACAUGCAGUCGAACGCGAAAGGGGAGCAAUCCCUGAGUAGAGUGGCAAACGGGUGAGUAACACGUGGGUGACCUGCCUUCGAGUGGGGGAUAACGUUCCGAAAGGAACGCUAAUACCGCAUGACAUCCUGCUUUUGGAGAAGCGGAGAUCAAAGCUGGGGAUUCGCAAGAACCUAGCGCUUGAAGAGGGGCCCGCGCCUGAUUAGCUAGUUGGUGGGGUAACGGCUCACCAAGGCUUCGAUCAGUAUCCGGCCUGAGAGGGCGGACGGACACACUGGGACUGAGACACGGCCCAGACUCCUACGGGAGGCAGCAGUGGGGAAUUGUUCGCAAUGGGCGCAAGCCUGACGACGCAACGCCGCGUGGAGGAUGAAGAUUUUCGGAUCGUAAACUCCUGUUCGAGUGGGAAGA
rnacentral:rRNA from 1 species